rnacentral:rRNA from 1 species
GAUGAACGCUGGCGGCGUGCCUAAUACAUGCAAGUCGAGCGAACAGAUGAGGAGCUUGCUCCUCUGACGUUAGCGGCGGACGGGUGAGUAACACAUGGAUAACCUACCUAUAAGACUGGGAUAACUUCGGGAAACCGGAGCUAAUACCGGAUAAUAUAUUGAACCGCAUGGUUCAAUAGUGAAAGACGGUUUUGCUGUCACUUAUAGAUGGAUCCGCGCCGCAUUAGCUAGUUGGUAAGGUAACGGCUUACCAAGGCAACGAUGCGUAGCCGACCUGAGAGGGUGAUCGGCCACACUGGAACUGAGACACGGUCCAGACUCCUACGGGAGGCAGCAGUAGGGAAUCUUCCGCAAUGGGCGAAAGCCUGACGGAGCAACGCCGCAUGAGUGAUGAAGGUCUUCGGAUCGUAAAACUCUGUUAUUAGGGAAGAACAAAUGUGUAAGUAACUAUGCACGUCUUGACGGUACCUAAUCAGAAAGCCACGGCUAACUACGUG